rnacentral:rRNA from 1 species
GACGAACGCUGGCGGCGUGCUUAACACAUGCAAGUCGAACGGAAAGGCCCUGCUUUUGUGGGGUGCUCGAGUGGCGAACGGGUGAGUAACACGUGAGUAACCUGCUCUUGACUUUGGGAUAACUUCAGGAAACUGGGGCUAAUACCGGAUAGGAGCUCCUGCUGCAUGGUGGGGGUUGGAAAGUUUCGGCGGUUGGGGAUGGACUCGCGGCUUAUCAGCUUGUUGGUGGGGUAGUGGCUUACCAAGGCUUUGACGGGUAGCCGGCCUGAGAGGGUGACCGGCCACAUUGGGACUGAGAUACGGCCCAGACUCCUACGGGAGGCAGCAGUGGGGAAUAUUGCACAAUGGGCGGAAGCCCGAUGCAGCAACGCCGCGUGCGGGAUGACGGCCUUCGGGUUGUAAACCGCUUUCGCCUGUGACGAAGCGUGAGUGACGGUAAUGGGUAAAGAAGCACCGGCUAACUACGUG